GUUUGUGAGUGCAACAGCCCUUCAUGUCCCGAAGACACUGCUUUGCAGCAGUGCUCACAGACUUCUGAGUCUCACAAUCUUAUCAGCCCCCGUUGUGUCCUACUCCCUGAACCUCAGGGAUGGACGGGGUAUGUUGUACAUGUCCAAUUUGGGCUGAAUAUUUCACAGACACAUAUCCUUUGAGAAAUUGUUAUUAUUAGCCACCAUCCACUCAGGAAGAAGCAUCUCUGAUGGGGGCUAAAAGCCAGUCUAGUCUAUGGAUGCAGAAAUAGCUUCUUAGAAGGCAGUUCCAUAAUAUUUCAAUUUAGCAAAGUAAAAUGGUGAUAAACUAGGGCCUAUAUAUUUUUCCUGAUUCUUGGCCAGAUUUGCUGUACUGGGCAUGAGUUUCCUCUUACUGGAACAGACCUUAAAUUCAGUUAGAAAGCAAUUGGUUGCUCCCAUACUACUGACUAUUCAUAACACUAUUACACUAGUUUGGCUUGCCAGUCUGAUUGUUAGAGCUCAUUGGGUUCACAGCUAGGUAAGACUGCAUGGCUUUUCUCCCCUAGAAGCCUAUAUGGCACCCUUUGGAACUGUGAAAACAAACCAGUUGGGAGAAAGUGUUCUAUGUUUUUUCCAUGUCCUGUGACCAAAUUAUGUUGGAGAAGAGUUUGAGCCAGACUAGCUGAGUUGAACCAGCCAGCCAGAGUUCAGAAAGAAUUAGAAAGGGUGAGCUUAUGUGGUAAUAAAGCCUCCAAGACAGCAAUUACAUUUGGUGAAUAAAAGUUACUUUUAGAAUUGCUUAUAUUGUUUUGGGGAUUUCUACAACUUCCCUGACCAACAGUUGAAAGAGAUAUUAUGAAGGGGGAAAUGAGGAUAAGGAGAAUUUACAUUUAAAUGGGGAAGGGAACAGAGAGGGUAGGAUAGAGAAAGAAAGGUAUAGAAAGGAAUAAUUAAGGAAACUUGAAAAGUUGUGCAGAAACCUAGUUUAUAAGCUUACUGAAAAAAAUAUAAAGAGCUUAUUUAUUUUUGGUGGUAUAAAGGUUGUUUUUUUUUUUGUCAGUGGGUAUUGACAUUCUCAAGGCGGUUAGCUCACUUCUAGCUGCCUCUUGGACGGAUGUGGGCCUUCACUUGAGGAACUUGAGCACCCUUUUGUCUUUGGAGUUCCUAAGUAGCUCUGUGACAAGCUGCUCCUUGGACACAAACCCACACAGCUCCUGUCCUGUCUUGUCCUGUCCUGUCCUGUCCUGUCCUGUCCUGUCCUGUCCUGUAUGAAUGUGGCGUGUUGGGUGAGGUCCUGGUAGUGCCAGAUGAUGGCUGUUGCUCUCAGGUUUUUGGUUUUGUUAUUUUCCUCCUCAACUCAUAAAAAUCUGUUUGCCUCUGCCACCCAAGUCUGGGAUAAAGGUGUGAGGUACCAUUGGAGGCUGGCUGCAGAUCUAAUUUUGAUCAGGCUGCAGCUACUUUUUAUAAUUUUCCAGCUGUGAAGUUUAUAAGAGUUCACCCCCCCCCCCCCACUCCCCAUUAUGUGUCAGAUUUCAUUUCAUUUCAUUUAUUUAUUUAUUUAUUUACUUAUUUUUGACUUUUUUUUUUUUUUUUUUUUUUUGAGACAGGGUUUCCCUGUGUAGCCCUGGCUGUCCUGAAACUCACUCUGUAGAUCAGGCUGGCCUCGAUAAUUUAAAAAUUUUAAAGCAUUUACCUGCUUGUUGUUAUAAAUUCUAGGUAGAGUACCACAGGGAUAUGUAAAGAGCCUUGUACAUCUAGCUCCAUAAUAAUUAGGAAACAAGAAAUCACAUCUGAGGAGUAACAGCUUACUGGAUUGGUGUUUGUUCUAGUAUUGAUGAUGACCCUAGUCAUGCGUGUUAUUUAUAAAAUAGUAUAUGUGAUAUUUCCUUCAAAUUGGAUUUUGAUUCUAAUUGCUGGAACUUCCUAAUUUUUUUUACUUUUUUACUGGGAUUUUCUUCAUAGAAAGUAAGUGUGUGUGUGUGUGUGUGUGUGUGUGCAGAGACCAUGGAGGAAGGAGUGCUGCUUACUGCUUGCUUGCUCAGCCUGCUUUCUUAUAGACCUUGAGGUGUCCCCACCCACAAUGGGCUGGGCCCUCCCCCAUCAAUCACUAAUAAAGAAUAUGCUUUACCGGGGCUGGAGAGAUGGCUCAGUGGUUAAGAGCACCGGCUGCUCUUCCGAAGGUCAUGAGUUCAAAUCCCAGCAACCACACGGUGGCUCACAACCAUCCGUAAUGAGAUCUGACGCCCUCUUCUGGUGCAUCUGAAGACAGCUACAGUGUACUUAGAUAUAAUAAUAAAUAAAUCUU
rnacentral:lncRNA from 1 species